AGCCUGCCCACUGAAUUUUUUUAAAUGGCCGCAGUAUACUGACUGUGCAAAGGUAGCAUAAUCAUUAGUCUUUUAAUUGAAGGCUGGUAUGAAUGGUUGGACGAGAUAUUAACUGUUUCAUAAAAAUUUAUAAUAGAAUUUUAUUUUUUAGUCAAAAAGCUAAAAUUUAUUUAAAAGACGAGAAGACCCUAUAAAUCUUUAUAUUUAGGUUAUUAUAAUUGUAUAGAUUUUUUUUGUUAUAAUAAUUAAUAAUAUUUUAUUGGGGUGAUAUUAAAAUUUAAUGAACUUUUAAUUAUUAAAAACAUUAAUUUAUGAAUAAUUGAUCCAUUAUUAGUGAUUAAAAAAAUAAGUUACUUUAGGGAUAACAGCGUAAUUUUUUUGGAGAGUUCAUAUUGAUAAAAAAGAUUGCGACCUCGAUGUUGGAUUAAGAUAUAAUUUUAGGUGUAGUAGCUUAAAUUUUAAGUCUGUUCGACUUUUAAAUUCUUACAUGAUCUGAGUUCAAACCGGCGUAAGCCAGGUUGGUUUCUAUCUUUAAAAA
rnacentral:rRNA from 1 species